GAGGAUAUAGCUCAGUGGUAGAGCGCAUGCUUUGCAUGCUCGAGGUCCUGGGUUCAAUCCCCAGUGCCUCCA
rnacentral:tRNA from 1 species